AUGCGAGCACGUACGGAACCUGAACUUGUUGCCUUCAGCGACGUAAUGCAAUGAAAAUUAUGAAAGAAAAUAUAUUGAAUGACUUCACUUUUACAGCUGUUAAAUUGCUAAACACUUUGACCCGCGGUCUUUUUGCGUUCACUAUGACUAACUUUACAACAUUCUACCAAACAAGUGCGGCACGAAUGUAAAGGAGAUUAAAAAGAAACAUUAUUAACCAUCAGUCGCUUAUUACCCCAGAUUACGAUAGAGACUAAUUGUCCUUUUGUUUAUCGCCACGCUUAUGUAAUUCAAACAAGCAACAAAAUGCCUCUUUGUAACCUGCAGCAUGUAUUAACUCAUUUUGACCACAUGGUGGCAGUAUGCUUCUUUGGAAUAAUUUCUCUUCCGCAAUUCUUCGCAGCUGCUUCCCCAUGAAGCUGAUGGGACAUUCAUUCUUAAGUCUUGUUGUCUUUGUUAGCGUUGUUUCAUAUUUUUAUGCUUUUCCGACUCAUGGUGACGUGCGCCUUUUGUCUAUAACGUGAUUAGGUGUCACUCUUCAUCAGUUAGUUCAUUAAUUGGCAACACUCCACCACCUGGGAUGACGCAGAGAGUAACCUCCAAAGAAAUGUCCUCCACCUCGCAUUGGCUCAAUUUGGAGUCCAACCAAGUUUUUCCCCCCCUUUUUUUGUGGACAAAUAUGCCAUAUUCCACCCCCCCCCCUAUUACCCCAUUGCCCAGACAUGAGGAAGGCUGGAGUCACGUGCCAGCAAUCUCGAAAGACAUUUCUGAGAUAAGCAGUUCAGAUAAUGGUUGACGGAUGGACAAUUAAAUAAAGGGGUCAUCUGCGCUCCCUCUGAUGGCGAUGGAGAUCUGGUGUGGACGAAGAGGCCGCAAUGGCUCCCUUGAGCUUUGUCAGAGGCCGCCCAUAUUGGAGCCAUUUCCUGUCUCAGGAGUGGGCAAAAGGCUUGACCCCUGGUGCACCCUUUCUAUGACUUGGCAGGAAGUCUUGAACAAUGGGACCGCUCCGCAGGGACUGCGUGCCGCCGGUGAGGAUCGUAACACAUAUGUAAUGCACACACGUCUUUGCCAUGUUUCAUGUUCGCGGGUGCACAGACGCACGUGUACAGAUACAAUAAUGCGAAUAGAGAAAGCGAAGUCAAGUCAAGCAACAACCGGACGUGUUCGUGUGACGCUAUUUUGUUCGGGUUUCUGUGCACAAUGAAUCAGCAGUGGUUAUAAGAUGUGUUUAUUUGGGGGAAGGCCUGUAUUUUUACCAACACGUUAAAAAUGAAAUGAACAAUAUUAUCUGUAUGUUAUAAUUGUCCAUUUGAGGGAGUCUUUUAUUUGGGGAAAAUGCUUUAAUCCUGAGCAGAUGAUUAGUUUAGUGUGCACCGAGGGAUGUUCAGACCUCUCAAACAUGUGAUUCGAUAGGUUGAGAAGUCAAAGCAAAUUCGAUGAGGGGAGCAUGAAGACCUUUUUGAUCUCAAUCGCCAUCUGCUUACCAAAGGGGGAGCGCUUGAGGGCUCAAAGACGAGAGACGCACACACACAUGCACGCACACUCACACUCAAUGAGCCCCCGGGGGGGUGGAGGGGGUCAUGUGAACCUCCCUCAUUCGGUGCCUUCUCGAUUUAACGUGCACCUCUUGAGACCUGUCAAAGGAAGCCAAACUCAACCUGUUCAACAUUAGUUUGUAAUGCCCCUUAGCAAUAGAUGUUAGCAUGAACUUAAUGGGUUGGUGGGUGUUGCGAAAAUGCUUCAUUCCAGAUAUGUGCAAUGAAAUAGUUCAUCACGGAGUUCAUGAUGGCAUGUAAACAAUUUUUGGGGCAGGUUCAUUUGAAUCUUCUUCUUCUUGGCUUGAUGAAAAUGGUUACUUUUGCAGAAAUGGGUCGUAAUGGAGGUAUGAAUGAAAACGAAAGGUGCUUUACGAUGACUAAAGAUGCCCUCGGUCAUUUUGACCCAUAUCACUGCUAUUAAAGAUGUAACAGGAGGUUUAUAAUGUCAAUUGACGUUUAGUUUUGUCUACACUUUAGACUAGGGGGUGUCAAACCCAUUUUUGUCUCGCGACACAUCAUUGUUACGGUUUCCCUUCGAGGGCCGUUAUGAAUUUUGGGAAACCAUAUAAAUGUUUAAUCACCUCCACAACAAACUGAUGGAUAACUAGUUUUAAAAUCAGAAGUAAAAAAUAAUCACCGUUAUUGUGGAUUACAUAUGACAAUUUGAAAUUUUGGUUCAGACUUUAGCAAGCAUCAUGGAACUUGACAG